rnacentral:rRNA from 1 species
UACGGGGGGAGCAAGCGUUGUUCGGAUUUACUGGGCGUAAAGGGCGCGUAGGCGGCCAGCACAAGUCAGUUGUGAAAUCUCCGGGCUUAACUCGGAAAGGUCAACUGAUACUGUGCGGCUAGAGUGCAGAAGGGGCAACUGGAAUUCUCGGUGUAGCGGUGAAAUGCGUAGAUAUUGGGAGGAACACCAGUGGCGAAGGCGGCUCACUGGACCGGUACUGACGCUGAUGCGCGAAAGCGUGGGGAGCAAACAGG